rnacentral:rRNA from 1 species
GAGUUUGAUCCUGACUCAGAUUGAACGCUGGCGGCGUGCCUUACACAUGCAAGUCGAACGGUAACAGGUCUUCGGAUGCUGACGAGUGGCGAACGGGUGAGUAAUACAUCGGAACGUGCCCGAUCGUGGGGGAUAACGGAGCGAAAGCUUUGCUAAUACCGCAUACGAUCUACGGAUGAAAGCAGGGGACCGCAAGGCCUUGCGCGGACGGAGCGGCCGAUGGCAGAUUAGGUAGUUGGUGGGAUAAAAGCUUACCAAGCCGACGAUCUGUAGCUGGUCUGAGAGGACGACCAGCCACACUGGGACUGAGACACGGCCCAGACUCCUACGGGAGGCAGCAGUGGGGAAUUUUGGACAAUGGGCGAAAGCCUGAUCCAGCCAUGCCGCGUGCAGGAUGAAGGCCUUCGGUUGUAACGUGCUUUGUUACGGUAACGAAAAGACGUACCUUCUAAUAAAGGGGUACCGAGUGACGGUACCGUAAGAA